rnacentral:rRNA from 1 species
UUGAUCCUGGCUCAGAAUCAACGCUGGCGGCGUGCCUAACACAUGCAAGUCGAACGAGAAAGUGGAGCAAUCCAUGAGUAAAGUGGCGACCGGGUGAGUUACACGUGACCAAUCUACCCUUGAGUGGGGGAUAACCUCGGGAAACCGGGUCUAAUACCGCAUAACAUCCUCGGAACGGAAGUACUGGGGAUCAAAGGAGUAAUUCGCUUAAGGAGGAGGUCGCGGCUGAUUAGCUAGUUGGCGGGGUAAUGGCCCACCAAGGCAAAGAUCGGUAGCCGGCCUGAGAGGGCGCACGGCCAUACUGGAACUGAAACACGGUCCAGACUCCUACGGGAGGCAGCAGUGGGGAUUUUUGCGCAAUGGGGGAAACCCUGACGCAGCAACGCCGCGUGGAGGAUGUAGUCCCUUGGGACGUAAACUCCUUUCGACCCGGACGAUAAUGACGGUACUGGUGGAAGAAGCCCCGGCUAACUUCGUGCCAGCAGCCGCGGUAAUAAGGU